rnacentral:rRNA from 1 species
CCUACGGGUGGCAGCAGUGGGGAAUAUUGCACAAUGGGGGAAACCCUGAUGCAGCGACGCCGCGUGAGGGAAGAAGGAUUUCGGUAUGUAAAGCUUUGUCAGCAGGGAAGAAAAUGACGGUACCUGAGUAAGAAGCCCCGGCUAACUACGUGCCAGCAGCCGCGGUAAUACGUAGGGGGCAAGCGUUAUCCGGAUUUACUGGGUGUAAAGGGAGCGUAGACGGGGAAUUAAGUCUGAAGUGAAAGCCCGCGGCUCAACCGAGGAACUGCUGUGGAAACUUUUUUGCUUGAGUACCGGAGAGGUAAGCGGAAUUCCUAGUGUAGCGGUGAAAUGCGUAGAUAUUAGGAGGAACACCAGUGGCGAAGGCGGCUUACUGGACGGUAACUGACGUUGAGGCACGAAAGCGUGGGGAGCAAACAGGAUUAGAUACCCUUGUAGUC